rnacentral:rRNA from 1 species
UACGGGGGGGGCAAGCGUUGUUCGGAAUUACUGGGCGUAAAGGGCUCGUAGGCGGCAAACUAAGUCAGACGUGAAAUCCCUCGGCUUAACCGGGGAACUGCGUCUGAUACUGGAUGGCUUGAGUUUGGGAGAGGGAUGCGGAAUUCCAGGUGUAGCGGUGAAAUGCGUAGAUAUCUGGAGGAACACCGGUGGCGAAGGCGGCAUCCUGGACCAACACUGACGCUGAGGAGCGAAAGCCAGGGGAGCAAACGGG